GACGAACGCUGGCGGCGUGCUUAACACAUGCAAGUCGAACGGAAAGGCCCUGCUUUUGUGGGGUGCUCGAGUGGCGAACGUGUGAGUAACACGUGAGUAACCUUCCCUUGACUUUGGGAUAACUUCAGGAAACUGGGGCUAAUACCUGAUAGGAGCUCCUGCUGCAUGGUGGGGUUUGGAAAGUUUCGGCGGUUGGGGAUGGACUCGCGGCUUAUCAGCUUGUUGGUGGGGUAGUGGCUUACCAAGCCUUUGACGGGUAGCCGGCCUGGGAGGGUGACCGGCUACAUUGGGACUGAGAUACGGCCCAGACUCCUACGGGAGGCAGCAGUGGGGAAUAUUGCACAAUGGGCGGAAGCCUGAUGCAGCAACGCCGCGUGCGGGAUGACGGCCUUCGGGUUGUAAACCGCUUUCGCCUGUGACGAAGCGUGAGUGACGGUAAUGGGGAAAGAAGCACCGGCUAACUACGU
rnacentral:rRNA from 1 species